UACGUAGGGGGCGAGCGUUGUCCGGAGUUACUGGGCGUAAAGCGCACGCAGGCGGUCUGCUAAGUUUGGAGUGACAGUUUGGUGGCUUAACUGCCAAAGUGCUUCGAAAACUGACAGACUUGAGGGCUUCAGAGGGACACGGAAUUCCGGGUGGAGUGGUGAAAUGCGUAGAGAUCCGGAGGAACACCAGUGGCGAAGGCGGCUCACUGGACUGGUAUUGACGCUGAGGUGCGAAAGCGUGGGGAGCAAACAGG
rnacentral:rRNA from 1 species